UGGCUCAGUGGUUAAGAGCACUGGCUUGUUCUUCCAGAGGUCCUGAGUUCAAUUCCCAG
rnacentral:tRNA from 1 species